AGAAAUUUGGGGGUGAAAAGGGGCUUUUUCUGCCCCAAAAUUUUGGGGUAGAAAGGGUCUUUUAUUCUCCACAAUUUUGGGGUAAAAACGGUCUUUUCUGCCUCAGAAAUUUGGGGUUAAAAGGGUCUUUUUUGCCCCAGACAUUUGGGGUAAAAAGGGUCUUUUCUGCACCACAAAUUUGGGGUAAAAAGGAUCUUUUCUGCCCCACAGAUUGUGUGGUAAAAAGGGUCUUUUCUGCCCCAUAAAUUUCGGUUAAAAAGGGUCUUUUCUACCCCACAAAUUUGGGGUGAAAAGGGUCAUUUCUACCCCACAGAUUUUGGGGUAAAAAGGGUCUUUUCUGCCCCACAAAUUUGGGGU